GAUGAAAGAGCUGGAACUGUCACACAAAAAACUUCUUGUGAUGAUUGAUCAGCUCAAUGUGAAGUUGCAAAAGGUUGAAAAUACCAAUGUACGUGUUAAAGGGAAAUUGCGAGACAUUCAGGAGGAUCUGAUCAACUUGGUUGAAAACCAAAAAAAGUCAGAGAAGAAGCAAAAGGAAAAAUUGUGUUGGCUUCAGGAGCAGCUGAAGACAAAAGAAGAAGAAAUAAAAAACCAAUCAGAAUAUUUUGAGCACUACAAACAAAGACAGAGACAACAAACAGCAGUAUUGAGAAAGAGGGAAUGUUACCUUCGGGGUGAGGUAUCUAGGCUGGAAAAGCAAGUCCUAGAUCUUAGCUCCCAUGUUGCUGUUUUGACAUCCGAGAUAGAAGAGGGAAUGGUGCAGCAUCUCCAGCAGGUGCUGGAAUCAACGUUCAGUGGGACUCGGGGUUAUAAACACCCUGACAUGGAAGUAGUGGAAUGGAAAACUUGUUUUGAAAAUGUGGAGCAUGAUGUGAAAAGCCACCUUCAGGCAUUUCAGCAAAAUCUGAAGUUCUUAAGGGAAAAAGAGGAGGACAACAGAAGAGAACAGGGAGACCUGUUGACUGAACUGCAGUGCUCUCAGGACAAUGAAGACUUCCUCAGAACAAAAUUGGAAGAAUCUUCCUGUCAUGUCUAUAGUUUGAAAUUAUCUGAAAUCAAACUACAGGAAAAAAUGGAAGAGCUUUUGGAUGAAAACAGAGCUUUAAAAGAUCACAGUACAAUGAUGUUGAAAAAGAAAAAAGAAAAAGACUCACAACUUGCAAGAUUGGAGAAUGGAGACAACAGUGUUGACCUGGUAUGUCAACUGAAUGGAGACCUAAUUCAGGAUGAAGUUCAAAAUCUUAAAUGGAGACCAGUCUUGGAUUCACUCAGAAGCAGAGCUACUCAAACUCCAGCUGUGCUGCUACAUGCUGAAGAGUCUGUGCUUUUCCAUAACAGAAACACCAGGAUGUAGUCAUGAUGGACUAAAGGAGGAGCUACCAGAAGAAUCUGUACCAGUUUGGGAAGGCAAUUCCAGUGUCUUUGUGAAAGUUGCUGGUCUAGCUGAGGCUGAGCAGGUCACCCUUGGAACAGAGAGGGCAGGAACUCUAGAAGAUAGUUUCACUUUGUUUGGGUGUCCCCCAAUUUAUCAUGCAGCAGGACUGCUUUCCCCUUAUUCUGAGAAGUUAUCUGAUGAUGAGACAAGUAAGAAAACCAAAGGUGAAGAAACCAUUUUUCUCUUGAAGGAACAAGCUAUAACUCUACCAACAAAAACAUUCCCUGCUUCUGUGGUUGAACACUUGAUGAGGAAGAAGCUCCAGCUUACUUGGUUCAAACCUGAAAGCUGCCACUCAUCAGCUGUCACCACUGUGGAGAAAGUGAGGAGUGCGAGUUUCUGUGAGGCAAAUACUAAUCUUUGGUCUGCUGGCCUCUGCAUUGUUGCAGAAGGGGGAUUUUAUGACAAAGUUCCUGUACUUUGUGGAAAGUUGCCUUCCACUGUGACUGAAAUUUUCACAGCAUGUCUAGAAAAAUACAACAUGGAAAGACAUUGGGAAAACAAGCAAAUUCUGCCAAAAAGCCUAAGUGAAAAUAGAUGUCUGGAUAAAAUUGUUGAUGAUGAAAAGUAUCACCAAAAAAUCUCUAGAGGGAGAGCUAAAGGAGAAGAAAUACAGACUGAGAAAUCCCAGCCACAACUGGUGACCUGCGUUCUUGAGGAAAGUUCUAAAGUUUUACAUAAAAUUGAAUUUAUCAGUCCUGAGAAGCAAGGAAUGGAAGCCAAAGAGAGACUAAGUAGCAUACAGGAUGUCCGAAGUUUGUCUCUUGAUUUUAAAGACUUGAUUUUAAAGAAGUGUUUUGAAGGGAGUCUUGGACUAAUGGAGAAAGAAGAAAACAUCUCAGAGAACUGCAUCUCUGAUGUGAAUAGGAGAUAUAAUGGAGAAGAUAUAAUUGAAAUGGAAGAGAAAGGAGUGCAGGCUCAGAAACCAACUCACCAAACCAACCCCUCCAGCAAUAUUGGCAUGAAAGAAAAGAAAGGCCAGACCUUGGGACUAUGUGAACCAUAUGAGAAGAAUUUCUCAUAUGAAAAAAUAGCUGCUGAAAACGUGCAAUAUGCAUACUCUCAGAAUUUCUUUUGGUCAGAUGAAGAGAGGUAUCCACUAAAAUUGCUGUUUCCUGUGCAGGAGAGUGUUGUGUGCCUAGGCAAACUAUUCCUGCCAGAGAGCAGUUUUUAUGAGUGUUUCUGUCAUCUGUCACCACUUGAAGCCUGUAAUGAAUGUAAUGUGAAAAUAUCUGUACUGGAAAAAGCAGUGACUGUGUGUUCUCACAGGAUAUUUCUACUCAUGCAAGAAAAUGAAAAUUAUUCCAAAAAAGUCUGUAUAUUAAAACAGGAGAAUGAGAGAUAUGCUCAGAUGAUGUGUGCCCUGGAAGAGGAGAUGGAUGCAUAUUUUCAGUACAUUUUAGCAGCAGAUGAAGCUAACAUUGUUUCAUUCCAAAACUUACUUAAUGAGAAAGAGGUUUCUGGUGGAUGUUACAGUAACUUAUCAGGAGAAAACACCAUGACCCCAGGAACAUUUUUAGUUAAAACUUUCUCUAAGAACCUCCCAUGUAUUGAAGAGAAAAAUAGGAAUUCUGAAAAAGACUCAUCGACAAUUGCAUCAAAUAAACUUUCCAGGAGUGUUCUAUCCCUGAAGGGAAGGAAAAUGAGGUAUUUCCAGCUACUUUCUGACCUAAAAGAAGAAAGAAGCAGAUGCUUCAAAGAAAUAGCUAAAUUAUUACAAGACAAGGAGAACUGUGUAGCAAAAUACAAUGAAUUAAUACAGGAGAGAGAGGAAAAUUUACAAAGAAUAGCUCUUUCAGAGCGUGAAAAAGAAACUUUGUUGGGACAUUUAGCAGAGAUAAAGUGUGAGCAAGACAAAUACAAGACCUUGGUUUCAGAACUCCAAGACUGCAAAACCAGCUGUUAUAAAAGAAUUUCUGAUUUACAGGAGGAAAAAUAUGUGCUGAAAAGAGAGAUAGACAAAAUCAAGAAAGAAACUUCAGAGCGGCUAGAUGAAUUUCAGAAAGCAAAUACAAACUUUAUUUUAGAAAAUAAAAAAUUGAAAGAAUUAGUGUCUUCUUUGGGUUUCACCUAUGAAGAGCUGAGAAAAGAGAAAAGUUUGGGAACAAAGAAAAAGAUAGUAAAAGUAAAAGAAGAAAGUCAGCAACAUGGUCUUAAGCCAAAGAAAUUUGAAACAGUGUGUAGUGUAACACAAACUGAAGAAGAAGUAGUUCUGGUUAUAAAUCCUUCAAACUAUUUCCCUGGGAAGGAGGUAAAUAAUAACAGGAAGGAGUGUUGUGAAGCAGUGUCUUCUAAAGAAAGGGGGAGAUAUAAAA
ensembl:lncRNA